UAGGGCGAAAGCCUGAUCCAGCAACGCCGCGUGAGGGAUGACGGCCUUCGGGUGUAAACCUCUUCAGCAGGGACGAAGCGCAAGUGACGGUACCUGCAGAAGAAGCACCGGCCAACUACGUGCCAGCAGCCGCGGUAAUACGUAGGGUGCGAGCGUUGUCCGGAAUUAUUGGGCGUAAAGGGCUCGUAGGCGGUUUGUCACGUCGGGAGUGAAACUCGGGGCUUAACCCCGAGCCUGCUUCCGAUACGGGCUGACUAGAGGUAUGCAGGGGAGAACGGAAUUCCUGGUGUAGCGGUGAAAUGCGCAGAUAUCAGGAGGAACACCGGUGGCGAAGGCGGUUCUCUGGGCAUUACCUGACGCUGAGGAGCGAAAGUGUGGGGAGCGAACAGGAUUAGAUACCCUGGUAGUCCACACCGUAAACGUUGGGCGCUAGGUGUGGGACUCAUUCCACGAGUUCCGUGCCGCAGCUAACGCAUUAAGCGCCCCGCCUGGGGAGUACGGCCGCAAGGCUA
rnacentral:rRNA from 1 species